GACGAACGCUGGCGGCGUGCCUAAUACAUGCAAGUUGAGCGAUGAAGAUUGGUGCUUGCACCAAUUUGAAGAGCAGCGAACGGGUGAGUAACGCGUGGGGAAUCUGCCUUUGAGCGGGGGACAACAUUUGGAAACGAAUGCUAAUACCGCAUAACAACUUUAAACAUAAGUUUUAAGUUUGAAAGAUGCAAUUGCAUCACUCAAAGAUGAUCCCGCGUUGUAUUAGCUAGUUGGUGAGGUAAAGGCUCACCAAGGCGAUGAUACAUAGCCGACCUGAGAGGGUGAUCGGCCACAUUGGGACUGAGACACAGCCCAAACUCCUACGGGAGGCAGCAGUAGGGAAUCUUCGGCAAUGGACGAAAGUCUGACCGAGCAACGCCGCGUGAGUGAAGAAGGGUGUCGGAUCGUAAAACUCUGUUGGUAGAGAAGAACGUUGGUGAGAGUGGAAAGCUCAUCAAGUGACGGUAACUACCCAGAAAGGGACGGCUAACUACGUG
rnacentral:rRNA from 1 species